AAAAUAACAGAAAGCUACUAAUUUUAUAUAACUUUAAAAAAUCAACCAUUAAUCUAAAAAAACUAAAAUAAUAUAUACAUACAAAUUCAAACACUGCCGCCAUAAUUGUUCAUAGAAAUUAAUACAGUUCCUCCGCUCCAACACAAAUCAAUUAUCAAUUAUCAAUUUUUUCUUUUACACCACAUUUGUUUCUUGAGUAGAUUCACUCCCAAUUUCUCAUUAUAGGGUUUGAUUCUUGCUGCCUACUUCAAAUGAAAAACAUGAUUUAUUUGAUUGAUGGUAAAACUGGAAAUCAAAUCAGUUAUUAGCCGAGUGUUUCUUGCCUUGUAAGUGUUUGUAAAAAUGUCGCAAUGACUUACAAGAAUUUUUUUUUGCCGUUCAUGCAGGGAGAUAAAGCUGGAAUCUUCAGGGUUCUUACAGAAUGUUCAAGCAGACAUCAGAAAUGAGCAAGGUGGAACAAAUGACAGGAAAAGAAGUUAAUUUUUGCUGGAAGCUCAAAGUCAUCCCUUUGACUUGGUCCUUUGUUUCUAUGCUUCUUGAUAGUUUCCGCAGUCGCCAUCUCCUAUGAUAAGUCUUCCUUCACUGAGGAAUUAUUUUAGCUGGUUGUUAGCCAAGACAUUUCCUAGCAUUAGUAUUGCACUUACUAUUCAUUUAAUAUUACUAGAGGGGCGUGCAUUUGGUUCAAACCGAACGAUACUAAAAUUUCAUGUUAUUCUUCCUAAAACUGAACCAAAUCAGUCGAUUUUGUUGAUAUUUUUUGGUUUAA